rnacentral:rRNA from 1 species
GACGAACGCUGGCGGCGUGCCUAAUACAUGCAAGUAGAACGCUGAAGGAGGAGCUUGCUUCUCUGGAUGAGUUGCGAACGGGUGAGUAACGCGUAGGUAACCUGCCUUGUAGCGGGGGAUAACUAUUGGAAACGAUAGCUAAUACCGCAUAAUAGUAGAUGUUGCAUGACAUUUGCUUAAAAGGUGCAAUUGCAUCACUACCAGAUGGACCUGCGUUGUAUUAGCUAGUUGGUGGGGUAACGGCUCACCAAGGCGACGAUACAUAGCCGACCUGAGAGGGUGAUCGGCCACACUGGGACUGAGACACGGCACAGACUCAUACGGGAGGCAGCAGUAGGGAAUCUUCGGCAAUGGACGGAAGUCUGACCGAGCAACGCCGCGUGAGUGAAGAAGGUUUUCGGAUCGUAAAGCUCUGUUGUAAGAGAAGAACGAGUGUGAGAGUGGAAAGUUCACACUGUGACGGUAUCUUACCAGAAAGGGACGGCUAACUACGUG